rnacentral:rRNA from 1 species
GCUUACGGCCACACCGCCUGGUAUACGCUGAUCUCGGAAGAUAAGGUAGGUUGGGCCUGGUUAGUACUUGGAUGGGAGACCGCCUGGGAAUACCAGGUGCUGUAAGCU